rnacentral:rRNA from 1 species
UCUUUCGGAWYYUUUGAGAGCGGCGUACGGGUGCGGAACACGUGUGCAACCUGCCUUUAUCAGGGGGAUAGCCUUUCGAAAGGAAGAUUAAUACCCCAUAAUAUAAGAAACGGCAUCGUUUUUUAUUGAAAACUACGGUGGAUAGAGAUGGGCACGCGCAAGAUUAGAUAGUUGGUGAGGUAACGGCUCACCAAGUCUGCGAUCUUUAGGGGGCCUGAKAGGGUGAUCCCCCACACUGGUACUGAKACACGGACCAGACUCCUACGGGAGGCAGCAGUGAGGAAUAUUGGACAAUGGGUGGAAGCCUGAUCCAGCCAUCCCGCGUGAAGGACGACGGCCCUAUGGGUUGUAAACUUCUUUUGUAUAGGGAUAAACCUUUCCACGAGUGKAAAGCUGAAGGUACUAUACGAAUAAGCACCGGCUAACUCCGUGCCAGCAGCCGCGGUG